rnacentral:rRNA from 1 species
GAUGAACGCUGGCGGCGUGCCUAAUACAUGCAAGUCGAGCGAACAGACGAGGAGCUUGCUCCUCUGACGUUAGCGGCGGACGGGUGAGUAACACGUGGAUAACCUACCUAUAAGACUGGGAUAACUUCGGGAAACCGGAGCUAAUACCGGAUAAUAUAUUGAACCGCAUGGUUCAAUAGUGAAAGACGGUUUUGCUGUCACUUAUAGAUGGAUCCGCGCCGCAUUAGCUAGUUGGUAAGGUAACGGCUUACCAAGGCAACGAUGCGUAGCCGACCUGAGAGGGUGAUCGGCCACCCUGGAACUGAGACACUGUCCAGACUCCUACGGGAGGCAGCAGUCGGGAAUCUUCCGCAAUGGGCGAAAGCUUGACGGAGCAACGCCGCGUGAGUUAUGAAGGUCUUCGGAUCGUAAAACUCUGUUAUUAGGGAAGAACAAAUGUGUAAGUAACUAUGCACGUCUUGACGGUACCUAAUCAGAAAGCCACGGCUAACUACGUG